UACUGCAAAUACUCAUUAUUAUAAGUAGAGGUGUCAAAAUGGUUAACUCAACUCAACUCAACUCAUAAUUUAAUGAGUUUAAGGUUAAAUGAGUUAUGGGUUGACUCAACUCAUUUUGUUAAAAUUUCGGGUUUACGUUUUUGGCGGAAAAAUCACGGAUUUACGUUUUUGGAGGGAAAAUCACGGGUUUACGUUUUUGGCGGGAAAAUCACAGGUUUUCGUUUUUUGGCGGGAAAAUUACGAGUUUACAUUUUCGGCGGGAAAAUUACGGAUUUACGUUUUUGACGGGAAAAUCACGGGUUUAUGUUUUUGGCGGGAAAAUCACGGGUUUACGUUUUUGGCGGGAAAAUCACGGGUUUAUGUUUUUUGGUGGAAAACUUACGAGUUUACUUUUUCUCAAUUUUAUCGCUUGUAUAUUUAAGAAUUUUAGAAAAAUAUUAA
rnacentral:sRNA from 1 species